AGAGUUUGAUCAUGGCUCAGGACGAACGCUGGCGGCGUGCUUAACACAUGCAAGUCGUGGGCAUCUCGCAAGAGGUGACCGGCGAACGGGUGCGUAACACGUGAGCGACCUACCGAUGCGCGGGGGAUAGCCGGCCCAACGGCCGGGUAAUACCGCAUACGCCAAUCGGGCCGCAUGGCCUGAUUGGGAAACCUCCGGGGCGGAUCGAGGGGCUCGCGGCCUAUCAGCUAGUUGGCGGGGUAACGGCCCACCAAGGCGACGACGGGUAGCUGGUCUGAGAGGAUGGCCAGCCACAUUGGGACUGAGAAACGGCCCAGACUCCUACGGGAGGCAGCAGUGGGGAAUAUUGCGCAAUGGCCGCAAGGCUGACGCAGCGACGCCGCGUGUGGGAUGACGCCCUUCGGGGUGUAAACCACUGUUGCCCGGGACGAACGAGGGGAUUUAUCCCCUGUGACGGUACCGGGUGAGGAAGCACCGGCUAACUCCGUGCCAGCAGCCGCGGUAAUACGGAGGGUGCGAGCGUUGUCCGGAAUCACUGGGCGUAAAGGGCGCGUAGGCGGCUUGGUAAGGGGGCGGUGAAAGCCCGGGGCUCAACCCCGGGUCUGCCGGACCGACUGCCGAGCUCGAGCACACUAGGGGCAGGUGGAAUUCCGGGUGUAGCGGUGGAAUGCGUAGAGAUCCGGAAGAACACCGGUGGCGAAGGCGGCCUGCCGGGGUGUGGCUGACGCUGAGGCGCGACAGCGUGGGGAGCAAACAGGAUUAGAUACCCUGGUAGUCCACGCCGUAAACGAUGGGCACUAGGUGCUCGGGGGAGCGACCCCUUGGGUGCCGGCGCUAACGCAUUAAGUGCCCCGCCUGGGGAGUACGGCCGCAAGGCUGAAACUCAAAGGAAUUGACGGGGGCCCCGCACAAGCGGUGGAGCAUGUGGUUUAAU
rnacentral:rRNA from 1 species